CCUACGGGAGACAGCAGUGAGGAAUAUUGGUCAAUGGCCGGAAGGCUGAACCAGCCAUGCCGCGUGAAGGUCAGUGCCCUAUGGGCGUUAAACUUCUUUUGUGCGGGAGCAAUAAUGGUCACGUGUGGCCAGACGAGAGUACCGUAAGAAUAAGAAUCGGCUAACUCCGUGCCAGCAGCCGCGGUAAGACGGGGGAUGCAAGCGUUAUCCGGAUUUAUUGGGUUUAAAGGGUGCGUAGGCUGUGAGGUAAGUCAGCGGUGAAAUGCCCCCGCUCAACGGGGUGAAGUGCCAUUGAUACUGCCUGGCUGGAAUGCGGAUGCCGUGGGAGGAAUGUGUGGUGUAGCGGUGAAAUGCAUAGAUAUCACACAGAACACCGAUUGCGAAGGCAUCUCACGAAUCCGCGAUUGACGCUGAUGCACGAAAGCGUGGGUAUCAAACAGGAUUAGAUACCCGUGUAGUC
rnacentral:rRNA from 1 species